UGGUAGCUUGAGUCUUGCAUCUCAAGAACAAGAGAAAGGGAUGAUAUUCAUCUUAUUUAUCUUUCAAUCAACUCUCUUAGGUGUUCCAGGUACAUAUUUAUAUCGUUUACAAAAGGUUUCAGGCUAUACAAAUCCUGUAAGCCUGGUGCUGCUUGUGGGGUUAUCUUUUCCUUCACAUGAGAAAAGUUUUGCUGAGAAUGAAGAAACAGAGGGAAGGACAAUUCCUGUUGACAUCUCAUAAGUGCUUGAUCCAACCAUGCCUGAAAUCAAUUUCUGGUAUUAUAUGACCCAGUAAAUUAUCUCUUUUGUUUGAGUUAAACUAAAUUUGGAAUUUUGUCUCUUGCAACACAAAUGGUCAUGACUGAUUUUAGGAUCUUUAAGUUUUCUAGAUUUAUUGUUGACCUAGAGAAUUUUUUCUAAAACUCAAAACCUUUUCCCAUUACUUUGACCCAUGAAUAUUAUAGCUAAGAGAUUUUAAUAUGUGUAAUUAAAUUAUACUUUCAUAAGUU
ensembl:lncRNA